UGUGUGACUGCAGAGAUAACCCCU
rnacentral:miRNA from 1 species